UCUCCUUCUCUUUUUCCAGUGCUUCACCUAAGUAUCGGGGAGACUGAUGCAGGCAGGCAAGCGGUCCUGCUUAGCAGAAGGAGAAUCUACUCAGGACCUGAGAAGCCAGGAACAGAGAAAAGAUAACCGGGAGAAGCCUGUGGAAGGGUCUAAUGGAGUCAAACGGAUCCCCAUGACAUACAACAGAACGAAGGAGGCCCGCAAGGUUUCUGAGAAUGUCACACCAGCGGAAGCACCACCAGCUUGACCUAAGAAGACAAAAUGAAAGAGGGCUGUAGAAGUCCCCAAAUUCUAUGGACAGGAAGCAGGAGCACUAAAAACAGGUGACUUGUCUUCAUUUUGUACAGAAAAGGAAUUCGUUUCCCAGUGGUGGAGCAGGGUAAAUGGAAAAGGCAGGACAGAAGAAUGAUGAGAGACACUCUGUGUGAAAAAAUGAAAUGGAAUAGAAAGAGACUCCAAAUAGAACAGAAUUUUUUGUGAUAACGCUGGCCUUUCACGUCAGUGGGAGGAGAAUGGAUUACCUGAGAAUGACUAGCCAUUAAAUAAAGGUAAAUUUCUGCUCAAGGCCACAUCCAAAAUAAAGAUUUAAAUGUGAAAAAAAAAAAAAAACCAAACCCACAAAACUUUACAGUUCUAAGAAAUAAUGAAAUAAAUAUCUUAUAAUCUUGGAAGGUCUUUCUAAGGGUUCCAGAAAGUACAAAAAUCAUAAAGAAAAAUACAGAAGAUAAUUUGACUUCAUAAACAUUUAUCAUGAAAACUUAUGUAUACCAAAUACUAAAUAAUAUUAAAAAGCAAAUGGGGAGACAAUAUUUUUGGUGCCUAUGAAAGAGUUAAUCACAAGAUAUUUAUCAGUGGAAGAUAUAAUAAUAAAACAUUUAGAAAUCAACAAGAAAAAGAGGAACAAGUUAAUUCAAAGCAGACAAAAGAAAUGAACAUCACUUUACAUAAGAAGAAAUGUGAGUAAAUGGCCAGUGAACCCAUGGAAAAUAUAUUUAACUUCCUUGGCAAAAGUCAAGAAUUGCACAUUUUAAACAACUGAAAGUUAAUUUUUCUUCCAAAAAAUUGGCAAAGAUAAAAAUAAAAAUGCUGGCAGUGUUACAGGGAAAUUAGUGCUUGUUUUUAUACCACUUGUGGCCAUGUAAAUUGCUAUAACUUUUCUCAAGGGAUAUUUGGCAAUAUACAGAAGAAAAGCCUUACGAUUUCACUGUGCUGUGACCCAGAAAUUCUACUAGUGAGAAUCAGUCUGAAAGGAAAAAUCAUGGAUAUGUGCAAAGAUUUUGCUUUUAGAAUGUUGAUCAAAGCCUCUUUAUAAUAACUAAAAAUUGGACACAGCUAAAGUCCCCGACAAUAGAGAAUCAGUUAAAUGUACCAUGAUGUAUGGUGCACAGUGGAACUUCAUGUAACCUUAUCAUGUUGUAGAAAAAAAUAUAUUGCAUGUCACUAUUA